GGAUUAUAGUUUAUAAUAAACAUUUGAUUUGCACUCAAAAAAUAUUGAUUUAUCAAUUUAUCUU
rnacentral:tRNA from 1 species